UCUCCGUUGGUGAACCAGCGGAGGGAUCAUUACUGAGUGUAAAAACUCCCAAACCCCUGUGAACAUACCAUCUGUUGCUUCGGCGGGAUCGCCCCGGGCGCCUUUGCGUGCCCCGGAUCCAGGCGCCCGCCGGAGGACUCCAAACUCUUGUUUUAUAUGUGGCAUUAUUUGAGUGGCUUAUAGCAAAUAAAUCAAAACUUUCAACAAUGGAUCUCUUGGCUCUG
rnacentral:misc_RNA from 1 species